ACUGCACAGCUGGUCCUGCUGGUUCCAGGAAGGCUCAAAAAGAAAUGAAGGCAUCGGGAAGCUGUUGAUGUUGUGACCUGCUCCUGGGGCUCUCGUGCACACUGCACCUCUGCUCAGACAGGGCUCCGUUUCCUGAAGUGCUGGAAAAAUCAAUCGCAUGGAGGAGGGAGGAGGCAGAGAGGUCCCUGGGAGGCUGCUCAGGUGUUCCAGAUCUUGAGUACCUGUUAUGGGACGGAAACUGUGCUUGGUGUGGGAUGCCACUGUGACCAGGACUGAAAAGGCUGCUGCCCUCAGGAUCUUAAUUCUAGGAGGAUAAUCAAGGGAAACACUUCCUUCUGGAAGAGGAUGCUGGAGGCCCAGUGAAGUCUUUACAAGAAUUGCACACUCAGAAACUCUAGUGCUAGAGAUGCAUGCAUGCCAGAAACUCUAGUGCCUGCACCCAGCAAGUCCACACUUUACAGAUGAAAUUGGGGCCAAGGAAGAAGAAGGGGUUCAGCACGAUGAUGGGACCUGGCUGGGUUCCAGGCGGCAGGCCUUAUCUAGCUCUAAACAGGGUGAACUCUUUGAGGGAUGGGACCACAUCUGAUGUACCCUCCAGAUAUCACUGUGCUUGACACAAAGAAGGCUCUCAGGGGACCCACAGGAAUGAACCAUGAUGUUGUGGAGGAAGAGGGCAACAAGCCAAGGAAUGUAGCAGCCUCCAGAGCUGGAAAGGCAAGGAACCAGAUUCUCUUCUAGAGCCUCCAGAAGGAAAGCAACCAGCUGACAGCUCGAUUUGAGCCCCGUGACACUCAGGCCAGCCUUCUGGCCUACUGAAUUGUAAGAUAAUAAAUCUGCAUAGUUUUAAGCCACUAAGUUGGUGGGGAUUUGUCACAGCAGCAGUUGGAAACUAAUACACCAUGGCGGCGAUUUUCUCAAUGUGAGUGAAUAAAUUGGCAUUUUGAUUUA